GCGGGGUGCGCGCCCUCUCCCCUUCCCGGGCCUCGCGCGUGGGGCCGCAGGAGCCAAUCCGAGGGUGGGAGCGGAGCGGCGCCCUGCGGAAAGCGGAUUCUACCUCGGAGAGGGCGGGGCGGACAAUGGAGAGUAUUUCUUUCAGGUCAAAAUGGUGUUCCAUGAAAAAAAAAAAGUGACUAGUUAAGCUCACAGUUCAAACAAGUGCAAAUGCUUUUCUGGAGACAACCAUUGUGCUGCAUCGGAUAUGGCAGAAGUGCUCUAUGUUGCUUCCCAGAAUAUUAAAAAGAUGUAUACUCAAGGACCAGUAUAUUGUGAAUGGGAUCAUUUUUAUUGCUGCAUCAAAGACUUUCCUGGUCGAUGUUGGCAGUGUUUUCCUAUGAGGGCGUGGCAGUGAAAAAUGCGAUGACUUCCUGUACAUCGCAUUGGAGGCCGCCACGUUGGCUUUUGCACCGUCAGG
rnacentral:lncRNA from 1 species